rnacentral:rRNA from 1 species
GAGUUUGAUCCUGGCUCAGGAUGAACGUUGGCGGCGUGCCUAAUACAUGCAAGUCGAACGAUAAGGCGCCCUUCGGGGUGCUGGAGAGUGGCGCACGGGUGAGUAACACGUAACUGAUCUGCCCUUUAGACUGGGAUAACCUUUGGAAACAGAGGCUAAUACCGGAUGAAUUCGCGGUAGUUAGAGAGCCGUGAGAAAAGGUUUAGGCGCUAAGGGAUGAGGUUGCGGACCAUCAGCUAGUUGGUGAGGUAAAGGCUUACCAAGGCGAUGACGGUUAGGGGACCUGAGAGGGUGGCCCCCCACACUGGGACUGAGACACGGCCCAGACUCCUACGGGAGGCAGCAGUAAGGGAUAUUGCACAAUGGACGGAAGUCUGAUGCAGCGACGCCGCGUGGGUGAAGAAGGUUUUCGGAUCGUAAAGCCCUUUUCUAUGUGACGAGAGAGGACGGUAGCAUAGGAAUAAGUGUCGGCUAACUACGUGCCAGCAGCCGCGGUAAAACGUAGGACGCGAACGUUAUCCGGAGUUACUGGGCGUAAAGCGCGCGUAGGCGGUUAUUUAAGUUACCUAUGAAAGAUACAGGCUAAACUUGUAUUGGUUAGGUAAAACUGGAUAACUAGAGAGAAAUAGAGGGAAGUAGAAUUCCGGGUGUAGUGGUGAAAUGCGUAGAUAUCCGGAGGAAUACCAGUGGCGAAGGCGGCUUCCUGGAUUUCCACUGACGCUGAGGCGCGAAAGUKGGGUAGCGAACGGGAUUAGAAACCCGGUAGUCCACGCCGUAAACGAUGUACAUUAGGCGUU